rnacentral:misc_RNA from 1 species
GAUGAAGAACGUAGCGAAAUGCGAUACGUAAUGUGAAUUGCAGAAUUCAGUGAAUCAUCGAAUCUUUGAACGCAUAUUGCGCUCUCUGGUAUUCCGGAGAGCAUGCUUGUUUGAGUAUCAGUAAACACCUCAACUUCCAUAUCUUUUUUGAAAUGGGAGUUGGACUUGAGUGAUCCCAACGCUUUUCCUCACCGAAAAGUGGCGGGUUACUUGAAAUGCAGGUGCAGCUGGACUUUUCUCUGAGCUAUAAGCAUAUCUAUUUAGUCUGCCUAAAAAACAGAUUAUUACCUUUGCUGCAGCUAACAUAAAGGAGAUUAGUUCUUGUGCUGACUGAUGCAGGAUUCACAAAGACAGGCUUCGGCCGACUUUGUAAACUCGAUCUCAAAUCAAGUAAGACUACCCGCUGAACUUAAGCAUAUCAAUAAGCCGGAGGA